GCGGAGCGUGAGGAUGGAGCGGGUGUCCGGGCUGCUCUCCUGGACGCUGAGCAGAGUCCUGUGGCUCUCCGGCCUCUUUGAGCGGGGAGCUGCCCGGCAGCCCCGGAUCAUGGAAGAAAAAGCGCUAGAGGUUUAUGAUUUGAUUCGAACUAUCCGGGACCCAGAGAAGCCCAAUACUUUAGAAGAACUGGAAGUGAUAACAGAAAGUAGUGUGGAGGUUCAGGAGAUAAACGAAGAAGACUAUUUGGUUAUUAUCAGGUUCACGCCAACAGUACCUCACUGCUCUUUGGCAACCCUUAUUGGGCUGUGCUUAAGAGUAAAACUUCAGCGGUGUUUACCGUUUAAACAUAAGUUGGAAAUCUACAUUUCUGAAGGAAUCCACUCAACAGAGGAAGACAUCAACAAGCAGAUAAAUGACAAAAAGCGAGUGGCAGCUGCAAUGGAAAACCCCAACUUACGGGAGAUUGUGGAACAGUGUGUUCUUGAGCCUGACUAAUAGCUAUUUUAAGAGCCACUUAACUUUAAUUGUUUGAUAUUUUUGUUUAAAUUCUUCGUAAAAUGUAAAAGACAUGUUUAAUACAUAGGUGAUUUGUACCUCAAGGCAUUUUUUUAACAGAUGAUUUGCAAGCAAGAUUUAAUUAUAAGUAGUACCUAGUUUGUUCAGUGUAUAACAUUCUCAGGAUUUAUAACACUUAAGUGAUUGGACAGAAAAAUAUUUUCUAGUGAUUAUGUGUCAGAUGAGUUGCUAUUUUUCUGGUGCCUCUUCUGAUAACAACUACUUUUCAUGUCAAAUAUUUACUGUGCCCAAGUGUAUUCAAUUUAAAUCAUUGUAGCAUAAAUAAAGCAGAGAUGAUUCUUGUAA